GUGAAUCAUCGAAUCUUUGAACGCACAUUGCGCCCGCCAGUAUUCUGGCGGGCAUGCCUGUUCGAGCGUCAUUUCAACCCUCAAGCCCAGCUUGGUGUUGGGAGCUGUCGUCAAGACACUCCCCAAAUUGAUUGGCGGUCACGUCGAGCUUCCAUAGCGUAGUAAUUUACACAUCGUUACUGGUAAUCGUCGCGGCCACGCCGUUAAACCCCAACUUCUGAAUGUUGACCUCGGAUCAGGUAGGAAUACCCGCUGAACUUAAGCAUAUCAAUAAGCGGAGGA
rnacentral:misc_RNA from 1 species